rnacentral:rRNA from 1 species
GAACGCGAAGAACCUUACCUGGUCUUGACAUGUACGGAAUCCUCCAGAGACGGAGGAGUGCCUUCGGGAGCCGUAACACAGGUGCUGCAUGGCUGUCGUCAGCUCGUGUCGUGAGAUGUUGGGUUAAGUCCCGCAACGAGCGCAACCCUUGUCAUUAGUUGCCAUCAUUCGGUUGGGCACUCUAAUGAGACUGCCGGUGACAAGCCGGAGGAAGGUGGGGAUGACGUCAAGUCCUCAUGGCCCUUAUGACCAGGGCUUCACACGUCAUACAAUGGUCGGUACAGAGGGUAGCCAAGCCGCGAGGCGGAGCCAAUCUCACAAAACCGAUCGUAGUCCGGAUUGCACUCUGCAACUCGAGUGCAUGAAGUCGGAAUCGCUAGUAAUCGCAGGUCAGCAUACUGCGGUGAAUACGUUCCCGGGUCUUGUACACACC